rnacentral:lncRNA from 1 species
GCAAGGGCAAAGAGGAACACAAAACUAUGAUCAAGGAGGUUAAGUGGAUCACUUUAGCUUUUGGAAGGCAAAGUGAGAUUUGACUAAAGUUUCAAGGGGCAUUACAGUAAAUAAAGCCUAAUUGAUAAGGAUUUUUAUCACAAAUAGUCUAUGAAGUUUGCCAAAUUAUCACCUUUAGUCCUUUAUGUCUUUUUUUCUGACAUUAUUGUUUAUUUAUAUUACUUCUUACGCAUCAAAAUUGUCUUGCCGUUAGAUUUAAUCAAAAAUUCUAUUAGAUUGCUGAUAUGGAAUUUAAGUAGAGCCCACAUCUCCAAUAAAAUUGUGACACGUGGAUUAACUAAAUAAUUUUUUUUUUUAAAGUUUAAAAUUCAUAGAAAAUUAGAAAAUUAGGAACGAAAAAGAAAAAAGAAAAAAAAUUAAAAGACUGCAACCUUCCGCCUGCCUCCGCCUCUGCUCUCUCUCCAUCCCUCUCUCUCUUUGCUCUCAGCCUUAUGCCUGGGUACAGAGAACCCACCGCCAUUGUUAGCAUCCGAUUGGGUCAUAAUGGCGGCUGGGAGGUGUUUGAGCAAGAAGACACUCCACUUCUAGCCAUACCUCACAAGCAAGAAGACACUCCACUUCUAGCCAUACCUCACAAGCUCUCAUCCCAAUCCUUGUAGCUUUGGGGUUGUUUUCCAUUUCAGCUGGGAUUGAAUUCGAUUCCCACGCUGAUCCAUUUGACCCCUUUGAGCAUUUUCGCUGAUGUUGUUGAUCUUGGAGCUAUGGGGGUUGUGAUGGUGGAGGAUGUUAUAAUUUUUGUGCAAAGUAGGCCAGCUCUACAUGCUUUUGGAGACUGCUCUGUUUCUUCUAUGGUCUUGGUGUGGCUGUUUUCUUCUAUGGCGUUGUGUUGUUGUGGCUUUCAUUGCUUUAUGGUAUGAAUCAUUUGGAGCUCUUGGUUGUUUUGCUUUUGGUGAAAAGACCAAAGACAUAAUCACCGCCAAUUUUGG